rnacentral:lncRNA from 1 species
GUACGCUGCCUGGCUCUACUUACUCCCGGCCCUUUUGUUCUGUAGCCGGACGCGCGUGGCGAGGGGCUGGGAGCGGCGUUAGGGGAGCAGCAGAUCUGGUAAAAUAUGCUCAAGCUCAUUACUUCUUGUAGUUGUUAGCAACCGACUUAUUAAAGAACUGUUCAAAUCCUUUUGCAUUUGUUGUUUCGCUUUGCUUUCCCUUCCGCCCAGCCAGACCAGUAAGGAAGGCGUUGCUGUCACCAGCUUUAGGACGAGGAGGAAAUGGAGGUAACUAUGCCUGAAAGAAGUGAGAGCUUAUUAAAGGUGAGGUAUUUUUGCUGCUUAUAAGGAUUAUUAUCAUAAUUAAUAGGGAGGUAUUUGUUGCUGUUUUGAUUCAUAGCACUUCUUUGGGAAUUUCCAAACAGACCAAAUGAAAAUGAAUUAGGAAAAAAAAAAACCAAAACAAAUACCUGUUGAAUAUACUUUUUGCUUGGCUGCAGGAUAGUAUCAAAGAUAUGAGCAAAACCCUCUUAAUUUGAAUCAUCAAGAUCUAAUAUGGGUAAGAUAGGUAUACAUUAAUGUUUGAUUCAAUACAAUUAACAAAAUACUGUAAUACAUAGACAUAGAAACAUAGAUCAGAGGUUUAAGUCUAUUGGUUACAACUAGUGGCAUGAAAAAUACCACAGUUAUCCAAUGUAUCAAUUUAAAACUAGCCUGCCCCUACACUGAUAUCCACCAGACAUUAACAAAAUCUUCAUAUCAUAUCAUACAAGUAAACUGUGUUUCUCAUUGAUAGAUAAUACUUAUAAUAUGUACAGUUGUAUUGAUCAGCUUUCUGUCACUACAAUAAAAUACCUGAGAUCCUUAACUCAGACAGAGAAAGGAUUUACUUUGGCUCACUGUAUUGGAGGGUCUGGUCCAAGGUCACUGUUGGGGCAGCCAAAUAGCAAUGGUAGAGAGUGUGAGGGAACAGAAUGCAUCUUCAUGGCCAGGAACCAAGGUAGAAAGAGCAAGAGACCAGGCCCACAGUCCCUUCUGAGGCCACAGCUCCAGCAACCUACAGGUCUCCCACUAGGCCUCAGCUCCCAGAGAUUCCCCCAAGUGAUGCCAACCUGGAGAUGAAUCUUGAACACGGGUUGGGGGGACACUUACCAUAGCAACAGUGUACUUGUGCUGGGUUCAAGUUCCUCUCUUAGCAUUACACACACUUGUCCCCUUCCUAGUGGUUCCAUCACCAACUCUUCUUUAAUUUGCUUGAUCUUUAUUUCUAUAUUUUUAGGAUUUUCAUAGCAGUGAACUAAGCUGUAUUUAUUUUUUAAAUAAAUUAGAGGUUUGCUUGGAGUGCAAUUCAAACUCACUGGGAAGACAGCAAAACCACCAAGAAUCGGCUCAUGCUGAGGUAAAACACAAUGAUACUGUACCUUUGUUAUAUGUGCAUCAUUUACCUAUUCCCUCAACCAAAUAUUUCCUGAGUGUCUACUGUGUGCCUUACACGGGACACACAAGGCGGCCCUCUCAGGAGCUUAGCAUGGAUACGGUAGAUGGAUGUUUAAACAAGGAACUGAAGCAGCAGUAAGCACUAAGCGAGAGGAAGUACCAAUUGCUGUGCCUCCAGUCACUUACAGGUAUGCACACACAAUAGGUCACUGAGGGUUGAAACCCUUGAGUCCAGUUGAAACCAGUCCAGGAAAAGGUAUUCUGGAAGUGUUAAAUCAUGUUUUGGAGGAAGGGAGAGAUGAGCAACUCGAUUUAGAGAGAGACACUAUAUGAUGGGGGGGGCAGCUAUUUCAGGAAAAUUCCUAAAGGGGAAGAGCUGAGCUGAAUGGAAUUUCUAGUUGUGUUUUACAGAACCCCCAUACUGAUCCAUAGGGAUCAGCUUGCACUCCCACUGACAGUGCAGAAGGGCUCCUUUUUCUUUGCAGCCUCCCCAGCAUUUGUUAUUAUUAAAUUUCUUGAUGAUGGCCAUUCUUUCCGGAAUAAAAUGGAAUCUCAGUGCUGUUUUAAUUUGCAUUUCUCUAAUGGUCAGGGAUUUCAUGUAUUUAUUGAGCAUUUGUACUUUUUCUGAGAUUUCAGUUGUCCAUUUUUUGACUGGGUCUUUUAUUUUGGGGGAUCUAAUUUUUUUGAGUUCUUUAUAUAUUCUUGACAUUAGUCCUCUGCCCAUGGAGUAGCUGGCAAAAAUAUUUUCCUGUUCUGUAAGUUGUCUCUUCACUCUGUCGGCUGUUUUCUUUGCUGUGCAGAAGCUUUUUAAUUUGAAAUAAUCUCAUUUGUUUAUUCCUGAUGUUAUGUCUUGUGCAAUUGGGGUUCUGUUCAGAAAGUCCUUGCCUAGGGCUCUCUUCCAGAGUUUUACCUCUUUUGUCUUCAGAAGAUUGUUUCUGUUUUAACAUUUAGAUCUUUGACCUGUUUUGAUUUUAGUUGAGUGCAUGGUGAGAUGUAUGGAUCUAUAUCCAGUCUUCUGCAUGUGGGCAGCAGUUUUCCCAGCGGCAUUUAUUAGAGGCUGUCUUUCUCCCAGUGUGUGUCAUUUUCCCCUUUGUCAAAAAUCAGAUAGCUGGUGGUGCCUGGGGCUGUCUCUGCUCCCCCUGUCCUGCUCCACUGGUCCUCCUGUCUGGUUUUGUGCCAGCACCAUGCUGUUUUCUUGCUGUAGCUUUGUAGUAUAACUUCAAGUCCAGGGUUGUGAUGUCUCCUGCUUUGCUCUUUUUACCCAGGAUUGCUUUUGCUAUUCUAGGUCUCUUCUGGUUCCAUGUAAAUUUUAGGGUUAUUUUCUCCAAAUCUGUGAAGAAUGCUGUUGGUGUUUUCACAGGGAUUGCCUUAAAUCUGUGUCGCACUUUUGGAAGUGUGGCCAUUUGGACCGUAUCAGCUCUGCCUGUUCUGCAGCAGGGCACACUCUCCAUGCUCUGAUCUCCUCUGGGCCCCUUUUUCAGGGAGCUGUAGUUUUCAGCACAGACAUCUUUGCCUCCCUCUUCUUUUAAAAAUAGCUUUUGGUUUUGCCUUUCCCCUCAUUGAUGGCCCUCACUUGGCCCAUGUCUGCCUGUUUUUCUGCCC